rnacentral:rRNA from 1 species
AGUGAACGCUGGCGGUAGGCCUAACACAUGCAAGUCGAACGGCAGCACAGUAAGAGCUUGCUCUUACGGGUGGCGAGUGGCGGACGGGUGAGGAAUACAUCGGAAUCUACUUUUUCGUGGGGGAUAAUGUAGGGAAACUUACGCUAAUACCGCAUACGACCUACGGGUGAAAGCAGGGGAUCUUCGGACCUUGCGCGAUUGAAUGAGCCGAUGUCGGAUUAGCUAGUUGGCGGGGUAACGGCCCACCAAGGCGACGAUCCGUAGCUGGCCUGAGAGGAUGCUCAGCCCCACUGGAGCGGAGACACGGUCCAGACUCCUACGGGAGGCGACAGUGGGGAAUAUUGGACGAUGGGCACAAGCCUGAUCCAGCCAUACCGCGUGGGUGAAGAAGGCCUUCGGGUUGUAAAGCCCUUUUGUUGGGAAAGAAAAGCAGCAGGUUAAUACCCCGCUGUUCUGACGGUACCCAAAGAAUAAGCACCGGCUAACUUCGUG